GGAUGUUCUUCAAGUGCAGUCCAAAUCAGUAUACAAAUAUCGGAGGACUGGAAAUGUAUGGCGCAAUGCUCCCAGACGGCUUCGAUUCGAAACCUGACCCCAGCCAGGGACCGGAUCUUGUUCUGAGGCAAACACAGUGGCCACCGUGUUGAAAAGCUGCAACCUACACCAUCUAUAAAAACUGCCUGAAAUCAUGAAAUAAAAAUAAAAGUAUCAUUGCAA